UAUUAAAUAUAAUUUCUAUGUUUUACAUAUCACGGUAGUAUGUAACUAAGAUGGAAUUCGGUUAAAGUCCGAAACGGUACCCGCCGCUGUAAGCGAAUAGUUGUUUUUAUUAUGUCACUGAGAGUUAUAUUAUAUAACACUUGGGAAGGCGAGAACAAUGUUGAAGCGCAAGUCAGAAGACAUGCAUAGUAAGAUAAAAGAAG
rnacentral:ncRNA from 1 species